CCAAUAGCGUAUAUUAAAGUUGUUGCAGUUAAAAAGCUCGUAGUUGAAUUUUGGGCCUGGUCGGGCGGUCCGCCUUCUUGGUGAGUACUGUCAUUGUGCCGGGUCUCUUCUUCUGGUGAGCUAGUGUGCUCUUUACUGGGUGCAUUAGGGAAUCAGGACUAUUACCUUGAAAAAAUUAGAGUGUUUAAAGCGGGCAUUUGCUUGAAUACAUUAGCAUGGAAUAAUGAAAUAGGACGGCGGUUCUAUUUUGUUGGUUAUGGGACCACCGUAAUGAUUAAUAGGGAUAGUUGGGGGCAUUAGUAUUCAAUUGUCAGAGGUGAAAUUCUUGGAUUUAUUGAAGACUAACUACUGCGAAAGCAUUUGCCAAGGAUGUUUUCAUUAAUCAAGAACGAAAGUUAGGGGAUCGAAGACGAUCAGAUACCGUCGUAGUCUUAACCAUAAACUAUGCCGACUAGGAAUCGGGCGAUGUUAUUUUAAUGACUCGCUCGGCACCUUAUG
rnacentral:rRNA from 1 species